GAUGAAGAACGCAGCGAAAUGCGAUAAGUAAUGUGAAUUGCAGAAUUCAGUGAAUCAUCGAAUCUUUGAACGCACAUUGCGCCCCCUGGUAUUCCGGGGGGCAUGCCUGUCCGAGCGUCAUUACAACCCUCAAGCUCAGCUUGGUAUUGGGCCCCGCCGACCCGGCGGGCCCUAAAGUCAGUGGCGGUGCCGUCCGGCUCCGAGCGUAGUAAUUCUUCUCGCUCUGGAGGUCCGGUCGUGUGCUCGCCAGCAACCCCCAAUUUUUUUCAGGUUGUCCUCGGAUCAGGUAGGGAUACCCGCUGAACUUAAGCAUAUCAAUAAGCGGAGGA
rnacentral:misc_RNA from 1 species